GUAAAUGAAAGGUAUGCAAGCUUUUUUAUGUUAAAGUUGAUUCCUCAUAUCCAAUGAAAUUGUAUCGGUGAAUAUGAUAUCAUAAACAUAUAUGUUAAUAGCACUUUUGAUUUAUACUCAACGAACCCAAAUUUGUUAGAAUCAUCGGAGCCACGCACAUGUCCAAACGUUGUUGAUGUUGUCAUUCCUAAUGAUAAUGAUCAGUGUUUUUCGACUUGCUAUGAUAAUUAUUUUCGAAUGUGCACUGAAUUGCAAGCUCAAGAUUGAGCUAACAAAAUUAGUCAAAAGGGGUUGGCAAGACAAAGUGGGUAGGCAAGAUAGAGUGAAGAAAGGUUUCUUCCUCAUGAAAGUGGCAGCAACUGGUCUCUGUGUUUUCUAUUUUUAUUAAUUGAUGUCAUUGAUGAUCAAAUGGACAACUAGGAUGCUGAAUUUUAUGCUAAGGUCUAUGAUGAUGUCUAUGUUAAUCAUGGUAUGUGGUCCUUAAUUCAUUAUAAAACAUCUUAAGUUAGAUAUGAAUAUAAGGUUUGUUUCUUCAUUCAAAAGAGUUUAGGAAUCAAAAGAAAUCAUAUUCUAUAUUCCUCAUGUUAAAAAUAAUUAGAUAAAUUUACUGAAUUUCUAAAAAUUUGUGAAAAUUCAGAAAGCAAUUGAUCAAAUCCGGUUGGAUUAAUGG